UACGUAGGGGGCAAGCGUUGUCCGGAUUUAUUGGGCGUAAAGCGUCUGUAGGUGGCUUUUCAAGUCCGCCGUCAAAUCCCAGGGCUCAACCCUGGACAGGCGGUGGAAACUGCCAAGCUGGAGUACGGUAGGGGCAGAGGGAAUUUCCGGUGGAGCGGUGAAAUGCGUAGAGAUCGGAAAGAACACCAACGGCGAAAGCACUCUGCUGGGCCGACACUGACACUGAGAGACGAAAGCUAGGGGAGCGAAUGGG
rnacentral:rRNA from 1 species